AUUCUUCAAAACCUACCUAAACCGCAGAUGCUGUUUUUUUCAACGGGUAGUGUUGCUCACACUAGCAAACAUCACUUAUAAUUAAAUAUUUAGUAUAAUUUUAAAAGGAUCACGAAGACAUCAAAACUAAUGAAGGUUCAUUCCAUUCCUUUUGUCUCUUUGCUCUUGGGUCAAAUCGAGUGUUUAAAGAGACAUUUAUGAAUGUCUGAUUCUGAACCGUCUCUCAUUUAGAUGCAAAUGUGUUCUACAACACUUGCGCAUUUAUUCAUCAAAAGAAUCUCUCGGCCAUCCAUCUUGCAUCAUCAAAUAAAGGACAGUCUGGGAUGGGUGGCAUGCGAUGUCUUCAUGUUUAAUGCAGCGAGCGUCAUUACGGGGCAGGAGCGAUGUGUGCGUGUGUGUGUGUGUGUGUGUGUUAGUGUGUUGGUGUGUGUGUGUGAGCCCACUGUGAAACUUCUGUUCUGUUUGCACUUCUUGUGUUUGUUGCGCAGGUGAAUAAAGCACGUGCACAGACGACUAUCACAGAACUUCUGCCAGUGAAACAGCCAAACUGUGUACCGAGAACUUCCAAAACACAGUGCUUGUAGUUAGAGGAAACAUUAAGUCAACUUAUCUCAAACCCUCAACAGUCCACUAAAAACUCGUUCAGCUUAAAACGUCUCAAUUAUUUCUAAUCAAAUUCUUCUAAUUCUUUCAAAACCAUCUGUGCUUUUAGUUAUUUGCAUAUGUGUAACAUAAGUUUACGGUAUCAGUUGAACUUUUUUUAUACUUUUAUUUUUUAUGACUUUAGUGGACACGGAUAAUAUAGUUAACAUUAGAUCUGAGCUGUGGAGGAGAUGAAAGAGCAAUUCUGUGGUUUGCCACUAGAGGUCAGAUGCGGUUUAUUUAUGUCGACACGCUUCACAACGGUGUUUCCUUCUAACACCAAAUCUGACAUGACGAACUCACGUAAUGAAUCUCAGGUCAUUUUAAGACUCAAAUUUAAGAUCGAAUGCAAUACAUGCAAAUGCAUAAAUUAUGUGUGAAAUACAAGCGAAUAAGAGGUCGUCUUGCAUUGCUACACACAAGUGGCCUAGGCUACUAUGAAUGUAUUUAACGUUACCCGAUAUUUUAAAAUGCACAUAUGCAUCAAAUGACGAGACCAUUUUAAAUGAAAAGGCCAUUUAAUCAGUGCAUGCUUCACGUUUCUUAUAUAUUUGCUCAAAUAAUCAGUCUUACCUUUUCAGAAGAGCAAAUCUGAAACAGGAGGGCAGAAUUGAGUUUCUCCAGCAGGGGGCGCUGUGAUAUAAGACACGUGUUUAAAUCCACGACGACAACAACUGUGAAAACUGGGCUUCUACAGAAAAGACCGUGAAAUCAAAGCGACACAUGAAAGUUCUGAGGAAGGUCAUCUAUGUGAGUGUUGAGCAGGGCUUUCCUCAAACUGAACCCUCCUGUCAUCCACUGGAUGUGCACUCAUGCGUGUGGACAACUGCUGGGCUCUGAUAGAACACACGCUUUCCAGUGUCACACACGCCAGAACGAGAUGUUGGAAGCGGCUUCACUGGAAACAGCAGCUGCUCUCGGAUCAGACGGGGACUGGAGGAUUUCCAGAAGCACUUUCCCAGCAGGCCUGUUGGGACGAGUCCACCGUGAGCCGGCCAAACUCUGGGACAUCCGUUCAACAACACUGAACCACGAGGAAGUCAAGCAAAUCCCUCGAACCAGACUUCAGAAUUAACAGCCGGCUGUCAGGGUGGAUAUUAGAGGUGAUGUGUGUUAUUUGUUUAUGUUUUAUUUAGUAGUUCAGAUGUCUGCCGCAGGUCUCAAAAGACUCAAAUAUGUGAGUAAAAACCACCUGGAGCAGAAAAAAUCUAGCAGUAUGGACUUUAUGGAUGUUAAAGGCGUCGCUGUGGAAACGUCAAACCUGACUUCAGCUUUGGGGCGCACACAACAUUGGUAAAUGACCGAAGUCCGGUUCGUCUGGUUCGGGGUUGUCAGAUGGGAUUGGUCUUACCUUGCACAGCAUCAGGAUGAACCUAACAUGGGACAUGCGGGAGAUGAUGGUUUUUCUGAAGCACGCAGACAUCCCUGAC